UCGUAUUUGGCGGCUAGCCAGCUAGCAGGGGUUAGGCUAAUUGCACGAAUAAUAUAGUACAGGACGCACACUGGCUGUUGCACAACAGCUGAAGCAGAAUGCGUGUAUGUACGUGGUUGAUACGUCAAAACAGAUCACACAAGCCCGAGUCUGUUCCUGCCGACUGCCAUAAUGAUCGCACGACUCGUUAUUAUGCAAAUUGCAUUAACAGUAGUAACGCGCCCUACUUCAUUAACGUACUGUAGUGUUCUUUGUUUUAUAUUCCAAAACGGGAGAGAACUGCACGGGCAUUUAAUUUAUGGCGGUAAAUCUCGACUCACCUAGCAUCACCAUUGUGUUUCUACAAUUUUUCUGUUACUGUAUACAACUUUCAAAUUUUGGAAAAAAAUUAGGCAGUACGAAAGUCGAGUUGUUUUAGCGGUAGGAGCAAACUUUAUCGAAAGAGUAACAAAUAUUCUUGACGUUUAGCCAAUGCAGAUGGCUCUCUUUCAGGAGAAAUAAUGUAAUAAUGGUAGCAAUAUUAAAGGAUUCGUGUAAACAUUAACACGAAGAGUAACAACCAGUUUGUAAGAUAUCGGCGAAGCCGGUUUGUGAGAUAUUUAUCCAGACGCUGUUUAUAGAAACUGUUCCCAAUUCUCUUCGAACAGUCUCCGCAAACAGUAUUUGGAUAAGUGUCUUGUGAACACUGGAAUCUUUUUGUAAUUAUAGGCUUGUUGACAAGUCACAGAAAAACUGCAAAAUGAGUUUCUAAUUAUUUACAAGAUAUUUAAUACGUCUUACGUAGAAGAAGAAAAACUGUCUACAAGCUCAAUAUCUCCUGUCAUGAUAAACAUGCAAUUUAUUCGAGGUAAUUAAAUUAGAUAGCGGCCAAUCUGUAGAUAUUCACAAUGUUCUAUUAAUAAUGUAUGCUCGUACAACAACAACAAAAAACUAGACUCGUUUACCGUUUGUUUCUUUUUUUUUAAAUCAAUGACGUGUCAAAAAAGAAUGUUCGAUACUCUAUGACGUCGAAUUGAAACAAAAUGACAACGUAAAUUCUGGUUUCAACGCGAGUAUAGUGACGCAGCAAACAUAUAAAUACAGUAAUGACGAAAUGACACUUAUGACUCGUACAUAAUAAAUGGAACUUCAUGUGCGAUACUUCUAGUGUAACGACUAAUGGACAGAUGAUAAUGAUCUCGUUGAAUUAUAAGUAGCAAGAAUAACGCCACUUCUAUAUAUACAAUUACUGUUUUGUACCGCGUACACAACUGAUCUAUAACUGCACACUUCUCUAAAAAAUAAUACUAAAAAAAAAAACCAUUCCCAACAUUUUCAAAACGAUUAUUCCUAUUUACCAUUUCAACGAAGCUAUUUAUUUCGACGGCUAUUGACCAUGUUACUGUCAAAUAAAUCUCCCCCUCCCCCUCCCCCCUCCACGUUUUCAUUUAUGUAUACAAAAUUAAAAUAAAAUAAACGUCUUCUUUACAAUCACAUAAUUGGUAGUGUAAUUAAUCGUUGCAAUUAAAAACUCACAACAAACGAAAUUGCUUUUAAAUUUCGAUAGCAUUUGGAGUACUUUGUAUAAUACAACACAAAUUGUUUGCAGUGUUAGAAACUCAAAGCGUAAAUAUCGUCGAGAAGGUUUCACAACUACUACAGGCGUUUCAAAGAUACGGAGGCUUGCAAUUUUACAAGGAGAAAUGGAGCAACAAGGAUGGUCAACGAAACAGAGUGUGAACGAGUAGCGGUUCGGGGAGAGCUUGAUGCAACGGAGUAUAACCUGCAUUGGUGCUACUGUCAACAACCGCACCCGAUCGCAAGAGGAAUCGUACCAUAGCUGCCUGGCCGAAAUGAGCUGCCACGUGUAAUGGAGUAUAACCAGCCUGGAAUGAAAACAAAUCGUGUUUGUCUUUAUCUAAGCAAUAUGGAGUGGAGUGAAGCCGUUUAGAGCUCGUGCGUUUGGAUCGGCAUUUCUAUCGAGUAGAAGUUUAGCCACUCGUACGUGUCCGCAGUGAGCUGCCAC